GACGAACGCUGGCGGCGUGCUUAACACAUGCAAGUCGAACGGAAAGGCCCUGCUUUUGUGGGGUGCUCGAGUGGCGAACGGGUGAGUAACACGUGAGUAACCUGCCCUUGACUUUGGGAUAACUUCAGGAAACUGGGGCUAAUACCGGAUAGGAGCUCCUGCUGCAUGGUGGGGGUUGGAAAGUUUCGGCGGUUGGGGAUGGACUCGCGGCUUAUCAGCUUGUUGGUGGGGUAGUGGCUUACCAAGGCUUUGACGGGUAGCCGGCCUGAGAGGGUGACCGGCCACAUGGGGAGUGAGAUACGGCCCAGACUCAUACGGGGGGCAGGAGUGGGGAAUAUUGCACAAUGGGCGGAAGCCUGAUGCAGCAACGCCGCGUGCGGGAUGGCGGGCUUCGGGUUGUAAACCGCUUUCGCCUGUGACGAAGCGUGAGUGACGGUAAUGGGUAAAGAAGCACCGGCUAACUACG
rnacentral:rRNA from 1 species